rnacentral:lncRNA from 1 species
AUGGGAGAGUUCCAUGAAGAUUCAAAAGGAAACUGUUGGCCGGAGAGAGAUUUCUGGUCAGUCUUCUUAUCUAAGACUCUGGGAAAGAGCUAGAUAGGAGAGUUACUCUUCUCAUACCCUUUUGCUUGGCUGAGCUGAAUGAAAGUUUCUUGCCCUAAAUUGAAGACAACCUUGGAUUACAAUUUCCCUGAGGGGAACUCAAAGCUAUAUUCCUUGAUGAUAGAUUUUGAUCCCACCAUCAAAAGUGGCCAUAGGAAAUAGUUAGCAGGGAUCUCCUUAUUUUUCCCUCUCCCCUCUCCCUUCUUUUCAAGAAAAUAAAUUAGAUAAUUUUAAAUUACAACAGAAUUGUUUCAAAAUCUAUGUAAUAGGAGGGAGGAUUUUCAAAUCAUCAAAAAGAAGGAGACUGUGAGGGGUUGACUUACCCACUGGUCUGGACUGACUGACUCCAUUAUAGUUGCCCAGCUUUAGUGGAGGAAAAGGAAGGUGUUACACAGAACUCAGUCCUGAAACCAGCUGCUUUCUGGUCCCUUCAUCUUUCAAGUCCCCCUCUCCCACUAUUACAUUACACAGAUCAAGGUCACAGUCCUAGGGAAGGUUGGAGCAAAGAGCAAGUGACCAGACCUCUCUUUGGGGCACACCAACUUGGAAACGUCAAAAACUUACAGACCUUCAGAUCAAGUUACAAAAGUUCAAUCUGGCCAUUCUCUCACUCAGAGUUACAUUCACUCCUACUACAAGCCAGGGAAGCCAAGAACAUCAAUCACCUUCAAGCCCAGGUCAACAGGACACACUUCGCUGGUUUGUUAUGUUACAAUAGCCAGAGCAACAUCUCCAAGUACCAGAGUGAAACUCAAGAAAAAUGUGACUUGGAAAUUGAGGAAUACCCCAAAUCUGAUUUGUCAUUAAAUUGUCCUCUAAUCUUGUACCUAGCUACAAAAUGUUUUAUUAUCCAUCUCCUAAGUAAUUGUGAUUGAUUGUGAAAGCUGACCAAAAGUAACAAUGAUUCUCCUAGGCCAGGUAGAACCAACCUCUAAAUCACCCUACUUAUGUCAUUCAUCUAUAGCAACAAUGUUUCAUUGACUAUCUCCUUAGGCUACACAUCUGUUGUUAAGUAUUAUGGAAACACAUAUGUAGAAAAUUGAUUGUGUGCCAAAGAAAUAUGUAAUCACCAGCCUAUAUAAUAAAUGAACCUCUAUGCUAUGGUAGAACA